rnacentral:rRNA from 1 species
UACGUAGGGGCCGAGCGUUGUCCGGAGUUAUUGGGCGUAAAGCGCGCGCAGGCGGCCUCGCGCGCCCGACGUGAAAGCCCCCGGCUUAACCGGGGAGGGUCGUUGGGGACGGCGGGGCUUGAGGGCGGGAGAGGUCGGUGGAAUUCCCGGUGUAGCGGUGAAAUGCGUAGAGAUCGGGAAGAACAUCGGUGGCGAAGGCGCUCUACUGGACCACAACUGACACUCAGGGACGAAAGCUAGGGGAGCGAAUGGG